rnacentral:rRNA from 1 species
GAGAAGGCGAUCGACCGGCAGCGCGUGCUCCUCGCGCACCUCCUCCCCUCCGCAUCGAGCCAGACCCAGCUAUCCGCGUCGCCGUGCGCGGCCGGGGACAGCGCCGCCUACCAGCGGAGCUCCUGCUUCGGGGACGAUGUCGUCAUCGUCGCUGCCUACCGUACACCGAUAUGCAAGGCCAAGCGAGGAGGCUUCAAGGACACGUACCCAGAGGACCUCCUUACCCCUGUUCUCAAGGCUGUUCUGGACAAAACUGGAAUCAACCCAGCUGAAAUCGGUGACGUCGUGGUCGGGACGGUGCUAGGCCCAGGUUCUCAGCGUGCGAUCGAGUGCAGGACUGCAUCUCUGUUAGCUGGAAUUCCUGAGACUGUCCCUGUGAGAACUGUGAACCGCCAAUGCUCAUCGGGGCUACAGGCAGUAGCAGAUGUUGCUGCUGCUAUAAAAGCUGGUUUCUAUGAAAUAGGGAUUGGUGCAGGUCUUGAAUCCAUGUCGGUGAACUCUGUUGGUUGGGAAGGCCAAGUAAACCCAAGAGUCAUUGAACUACAGAAGGCACAGGAUUGUCUUCUACCCAUGGGAAUAACAUCUGAAAAUGUUGCUCAGCGAUACGGUGUAACCAGAGAAGAGCAAGAUAAGGCUGCUGUUGAGUCUCAUGCGAGAGCUGCUGCAGCCACGGCUUCUGGAAAGUUCAAGGAUGAGAUUAUUCCAGUGCAUACAAAGCUUAUUGACCCCAAAACUGGAGAGGAAAAGAAAGUUGUGAUAUCAGUUGAUGAUGGGAUUAGGCCAGGGACCACGCUAUCUGGAUUGGCCAAGCUUAAGACAGUUUUCAAGAAGGAUGGGACUACAACUGCAGGUAAUUCUAGCCAAGUGAGUGAUGGUGCUGGAGCUGUUCUUCUCAUGAAGAGAUCUGUAGCGGUGAGCAAGGGGCUUCCUAUACUUGGCGUUUUCAGGAGUUUUGCUGCUGUUGGAGUGGAUCCAGCUGUUAUGGGUGUCGGCCCUGCGGUCGCCAUACCUGCUGCAGUGAAGUCUGCUGGCCUUGAGAUUGACGACAUUGAUCUCUUUGAAUUGAACGAGGCCUUUGCCUCCCAAUUUGUCUACUGCUGCAACAAGCUGGGACUCGACCGGUCAAAGGUGAACGUGAAUGGAGGAGCCAUCGCUAUGGGGCAUCCUCUUGGAGCAACAGGCGCCCGGUGCAUCUCGACCCUUCUGAACGAAAUGAAGCGCCGGGGCAGGGACUGCAGAUUCGGCGUGGUGACCAUGUGCAUCGGGUCCGGCAUGGGCGCGGCGGCCGUGUUCGAGCGGGGGGACUCGGUGGACGAGCUCUCCAACGUGCGCCAUAUCCAGUCGCACAACUUCCUGUCCAAGGAUGCUGCAAAGUAG